UACAUAUAGAUAUAUGAUAGAUUAUCACUUGUCGAUUAUCAUAUCGAAGAUAUUACGUCGUUCUUUACUUAUAUAUUUAUUGAAAAUAAUAUAUUUAUCAUUAGAUAAUAGAUUUUCCAUCGGAUAUUCCCUGCUAUCUUUUGACAGGUUUGACUUAUCUAAUUGACAGGUGCCAAAAGCUUAAGGUGACCAUACGUACUGACUAUUUGUUCUGCCCGCCAUAUCCCCUGCUGGUAUAACAACUUUACUUUCAUUUUUUUCAAAGUGCGCUGGCGCUUUGAAUUUGUGGUUGCGCAUGCGUAUAACAUAUCUUCCACUCAUGACGUCGCCAUUUCAUAAUUAUUCCAAGGUUCCUUGGCAGCGUUCUUACAACGAAGCUAUAUACAAGGAGGACGAUCGAGAUAGGCGCUGCGUCGAAUUUGUGUUGUUGAAAAUGACUGAAUAUCGAAUACGAUAAUUAUCCACGAGGGCGGCGGUGAUGUUCUUAAGUUUAGAUUUAAGUACGUGUGAUUUUAUAAAUAAACAAAUGAAAUUAAUAGUUCUCUUUGAUGUUUUUGUUUUAAUUACUGUUUUUAAAAAUCAGACCAAGCGACUAGACGCGCUCUCUAAUGGC